AACAAACGCUGGCGGCGUGCCUAAUACAUGCAAGUCGAACGGGGAAAGUAGCAAUAUGAGUACUAGUGGCGCACGGGUGAGUAACGCGUGGAUAAUCUGCCUUGAAGAGGGGGAUAACUAGUCGAAAGAUUAGCUAAUACCGCAUAAGACCACAAGAACUGAGGUUCAAGGGGUCAAAGGUUUUUCGCUUCAAGAUGAGUCCGCGUAAGAUUAGCUAGUUGGUGAGGUAAUGGCUCACCAAGGCAACGAUCUUUAACUGGUCUGAGAGGAUGAUCAGUCACACUGGAACUGAGACACGGUCCAGACUCCUACGGGAGGCAGCAGUAGGGAAUAUUGCACAAUGGAGGAAACUCUGAUGCAGCGACGCCGCGUGAGUGAUGAAGGCCUUCGGGUCGUAAAGCUCUGUCGCAGGGGAAUAACUCAAUGAAGGUACCCUGUAAGAAAGGAUCGGCUAACUUCGUG
rnacentral:rRNA from 1 species